rnacentral:rRNA from 1 species
GGGUUUACCUAUUGGUCAGGCUUAAUUGUCUGUACUGGUAGGAUGGAUCUCUACCUUCUGAGGAACUUUCAUGCCAUUUAUUUGGUGUGAUGGGAAAUCAGGACUGUUACUUUGAAAAAAUUAGAGUGUUUAAAGUAGACUAUCGUCUGAAUACAUCAGCAUGGAAUAAUGAAAUAGGACGGACUGAUUCUAUUUCGUUGGUUUCUAGGAUCACCGUA